AAGCCUACUGCAUGCAGUGGGUGGACCCACCUUAACUCAUUUCUAGAUCUGAAUUAAAGGACAUCAUAAGCCAUUGUCACAGGUAUUGUCAUAUCAUUUCGCCUGUCCAGACUAAAACUCGACCAUGAAGGACUACAAGCUUACCGUAGCCUGCAUCCUGCUCUUCACAUUUUGCACUGUGGUGCUUAGUCAAAAUGGUAUUUUUCCAGAGAAAUGUUGUUUUAGGUACUACAACAAACCCAUUCCUCCUAGAAGUGUUAAGCGUAUCCUGGCAACCUCCCCUCAAUGCAUCAAGUCAGGGUUCCUGGUCAUCACAAAGAAACGAGGACUGCCACUGUGUGUCAACCCAGACGACCCAACGGUCAGCAAACUGAUGUCUCAAUUCUACUUUCCUGACGCUCAGUAUCCCUGAUGCUCAACCCAACAAAUAAUAUCAGUGCUUUAAGUCCUUAUAGACACUGUGCCUGAAUUUAGGUGUGGAGCAGGCUGCUUAUUUGAAAAUAGAUGAUUAUAUAUGAAGACGUUGAAUGACUUGCAUUAAGCACUAGAUAUCAUAUUAUAUAUGAAGACGUAGAAAUAUACCUUAAUAAUAAUAAUAAUAUAAGCACUGGAUAUCAUAUUAAGCUUCGUCAUAUACCUUAUAGCUCAUGGCCAGCCAAAUUCCUGCAUGACUUUUGCCUUUCAUGUAGUUUUUUAUUUCCUUCUGAUUUCAUUUCUCUGUUUUUAUUUCAUUACAUCUUUCAUUCUCUUUAUAUGUUUUAGACAUUUGUAUCCACUUCUUUCAAUAAAUACGAGAUUCCCACUG